AACCUCUGUACAGAGGUUGUUGCUUCAAAGUGCAAGUGCUGUACAGAGGUUGUUGCUUCAAAGUGCGAGUGUUGUUCAGAGGUUGUUGCUUCAAAGUGCAAGUGUUGCACAGAGGUUGUUGCUUCAAAGUGCGAGUGUUGUACAGAGGUUGAUGCUUCAAAGUGCGAGUGUUGCACAGAGGUUGAUGCUUUAAAGUGCGAGUGUUUUACAGAGGUUGUUGCUUCAAAGUGUGUGUGUUGUACAGAGGUUGUUGCUUCAAAGUGCGAGUGUUGUACAGAGGUUGUUGCUUCAAAGUGCGAGUGUUGCACAGAGGUUGUUGCUUCAAGGUGCGAGUGCUGUACAGAGGUUGUUGCUUCAAAGUGCGAGUGUUGUUCAGAGGUUGUUGCUUCGAAGUGCGUAUGUUGCACAGAGGUUGUUGCUUCAAAGUGUGUGUGUUGUACAGAGGCUUGUUGCUUCAAAGUGCAAGUGUUGCACAGAGGUUUGUUGCUUCAAAGUGCGAGUGCUGUACAGAGGUUGUUGCUUCAAAGUGCGAGUGUUGUUCASAGGUAGUUSCUUCAAAGNUSCGUAUGNUGCACAGAGGUUGUUGCUUCAAANGUGUGUGUGUUGUACAGUGGUUUAUGCUUUAAAGUGCGUGUGCUGUACAGAGGUUGUUSCUUCAARGUGCGNGKUGUUGCACARRGGUUGUUGCUGCAAAGUGCGAGUGUUGCACAGAGGUUGUUGCUUCAAAGUGCAAGUGUUGUACAGAGGUUGAUGCUUUAAAGUGCGAGUGUUGUACAGAGGUUGAUGCUUCAAAGUGCGAGUGUUGCACAGAGGUUGAUGCUUAAAAGUGCGAGUGUUGCACAGAGGUUGUUGCUUCAAAGUGCAAGAGUUGUACAGAGGUUGUUACUUCAAAGUGUGUGUGUUGUACAGAGGUUGUUGCUUUAAAGUGCAAGUGUUGUACAGAGGUUGAUGCUUUAAAGGGCAAGUGUUGCACAGAGGUUGUUGCUUCAAAGUGCGAGUGCUGUACAGAGGUUGUUGCUUCAAAGUGCGAGUGUUGUUCAGAGGUUGUUGCUUCGAAGUGCAUAUGUUGCACAGAGGUUGUUGCUUCAAAGUGUGUGUGUUGUACAGAGGUUUAUGCUUUAAAGUGAGAGUGCUGUACAGAGGUUGUUGCUUCAAAGUGCGAGU
rnacentral:sRNA from 1 species